rnacentral:rRNA from 1 species
UGCAGCGACGCCGCGUGAGGGAUGACGGCCUAUCGGGUUGUAAACCUCUUUCAGUAGGGACGAAGCGCAAGUGACGGUACCUAUAGAAGAAGGACCGGCCAACUACGUGCCAGCAGCCGCGGUAAUACGUAGGGUCCGAGCGUUGUCCGGAAUUACUGGGCGUAAAGAGCUCGUAGGUGGUUUGUCGCGUUGUUCGUGAAAACUCACAGCUCAACUGUGGGCGUGCGGGCGAUACGGGCAGACUAGAGUACUGCAGGGGAGACUGGAAUUCCUGGUGUAGCGGUGGAAUGCGCAGAUAUCAGGAGGAACACCGGUGGCGAAGGCGGGUCUCUGGGCAGUAACUGACGCUGAGGAGCGAAAGCGUGGGGAGCGAACAGGAUUAGAUACCCUGGUAGUCCACGCCGUAAACGGUGGGUACUAGGUGUGGGUUUCCUUCCUUGGGAUCCGUGCCGUAGCUAACGCAUUAAGUACCCCGCCUGGGGAGUACGGCCGCAAGGCUAAAACUCAAAGAAAUUGACGGGGGCCCGCACAAGCGGCGGAGCAUGUGGAUUAAUUCGAUGCAACGCGAAGAACCUUACCUGGGUUUGACAUGCACAGGACGUGCCUAGAGAUAGGUAUUCCCUUGU